GGUUAUGAGGAGGACUCUGAUGACAAGAACUUGCAUUUCUCAUCAGUUUCUUCGCUUGAUAACUUCUUCAACCCACUGAAGCGGAAAGAUGUGGAAAGAGACCAACAGGACUCUACGUUCUUCCAAAGCAAGAAGCCUAGAACUGGUGAUCUCGAGGAGGAUAUAGUUCUAUCUAUGUGUGAUGAUACCUUCGACAUCAACUUUUGCGUAGACGAGUUCUAGGAACAGAAACCGCAGGAGCUCCAUGACAACCCAUUAAGGAAUAGCUUCAUGACUUUGGCGAGAGAGGAAGCAAACUAGACCAGGGAAGUAACUAUAUAGUGUAGAUAACUUGUAAUAGGUUAUUUGAGCGAAAGGAAGACCCCUCAUGUGGAGAACUACUCCAGAUGACCAACAAAAACUACUGUCCGCAAAGGUCAGGACACUAUUUUACAAAUUUGUAACAGCAGAUUUACUGGGAGUUUGGACCAGAACUAUAAUACUUGCAGACACAAAGAUGUGGUCAUAUGAAGCAUGCAAAUAAGACAAUCUGUUGAUCAAAUCAGGUAAGCGUAUGCUAUUUGCGUGAGAAAAAACAGAAUGAAAGUAUUAAUACACAACACUGACUUCAGAUAUCUUUACACAAGACAGCUGCAUUCUCAAGUUGGAGCUAAGAAGACAACACACAGACAUGAAACCAAACACGAAAAGAAAGCUAGUCAUUGAAGUACAUUACAGUGCCAGGAAAA
rnacentral:lncRNA from 1 species